UCCCCAGACUCCUACGGGAGGCAGCAGUCGGGAAUAUUGCGCAAUGGAGGAAACUCUGACGCAGUGACGCCGCGUAUAGGAAGAAGGUUUUCGGAUUGUAAACUAUUGUCGUGAGGGAAGAAAUUGACAGUACCUCAGGAGGAAGCUCCGGCUAACUAUGUGCCAGCAGCCGCGGUAAUACAUAGGGAGCAAGCGUUAUCCGGAUUUAUUGGGUUUAAAGGGUGCGUAGGCGGAACAUUAAGUCAGCGGUAAAAUCGAGGGGCUCAACCCCUUUAAGCCGUUGAAACUGGUGAUCUUGAGUGGGCGAGAAGUAUGCGGAAUGCGUGGUGUAGCGGUGAAAUGCAUAGAUAUCACGCAGAACUCCGAUUGCGAAGGCAGCAUACCGGCGCCCGACUGGCGCUGAGGCACGAAAGCGUGGGGAUCGAACAGGAUUAGAUACCCCGGUA
rnacentral:rRNA from 1 species